rnacentral:tRNA from 1 species
GGAAGCGUGCCAGAGUGGUUGAAUGGACUGGUCUUGAAAACCAGCGAUGGGGUAACCCAUCCGUGAGUUCGAAUCUCACCGCUUCCGCCA